GCGAGAGUGGCGGAACUGGCAGACGCGCAGGAUUUAGGAUCCUGUGGGAUAUCCCGUGGGGGUUCGAGUCCCCCUUCUCGCA
rnacentral:tRNA from 1 species